UACGUAGGCAGCAAGCGUUGUUCGGAAUUACUGGGCGUAAAGAGUGUGUAGGCGGUGCUCUAAGUUCGGUGUGAAAUCUCCUGGCUUAACUGGGAGGGUGCGCCGGAAACUGGAAUGCUCGAGCGUGGGAGAGGAAAGCGGAAUUCCUGGUGUAGCGGUGAAAUGCGUAGAUAUCAGGAGGAACACCUGCGGUGUAGACGGCUCUCUGGACCAUUGCUGACGCUGAGACACGAAAGCGUGGGUAGCAAACAGG
rnacentral:rRNA from 1 species